CUUCGGGUUGUAAACCGCUUUCAGGAGGGACGAAGCCACUCGGGUUAAUAGCCCAGAGGGUGACGGUACCUCCAGAAGAAGCCCCGGCUAACUACGUGCCAGCAGCCGCGGUAAUACGUAGGGGGCAAGCGUUGUCCGGAUUUAUUGGGCGUAAAGAGCGUGUAGGCGGCUUGGCAAGUCCGCUGUGAAAACUCGAGGCUCAACCUCGAGCUGUCGGUGGAAACUGCUUGGCUAGAGUCCGGAAGAGGAGUGUGGAAUUCCUGGUGUAGCGGUGAAAUGCGCAGAUAUCAGGAAGAACACCUAUGGCGAAGGCAGCACUCUGGGACGGUACUGACGCUGAGACGCGAAAGCGUGGGGAGCGAACAGGAUAGAUACCCUGGUAGUCCACGCCGUAAACGAUGGAUGCUAGGUGUGGGCGGUGUCGACUCCGUCCGUGCCGAAGCUAACGCAUUAAGCAUCCCGCCUGGGGGGUACGGCCGCAAGGCUAAAACUCAAAGGAAUUGACGG
rnacentral:rRNA from 1 species